rnacentral:rRNA from 1 species
CCAGACUCCUACGGGAGGCAGCAGUGGGGAAUAUUGCACAAUGGGGGAAACCCUGAUGCAGCGACGCCGCGUGAGUGAAGAAGUAAUUCGUUAUGUAAAGCUCUAUCAGCAGGGAAGAAAAUGACGGUACCUGACUAAGAAGCCCCGGCUAACUACGUGCCAGCAGCCGCGGUAAUACGUAGGGGGCAAGCGUUAUCCGGAUUUACUGGGUGUAAAGGGAGCGUAGACGGAAUAGCAAGUCUGAUGUGAAAACCCGGGGCUCAACUCCGGGAGUGCAUUGGAAACUGUUGAUCUAGAGUGUCGGAGAGGCAAGCGGAAUUCCUAGUGUAGCGGUGAAAUGCGUAGAUAUUAGGAGGAACACCAGUGGCGAAGGCGGCUUGCUGGACGAUGACUGACGUUGAGGCCCGAAAGCGUGGGGAGCAAACAGGAUUAGAUACCCGUGUAAC